rnacentral:rRNA from 1 species
GACGAACGCUGGCGGCGUGCCUAAUACAUGCAAGUCGAACGAACGGAGCUAGGAACUUGUUCCCGGCAAAGUUAGUGGCGCACGGGUGAGUAACACGUGGAGAACCUACCCUUUUGCGGGGGAUAACCAUUGGAAACGAUGACUAAUACCGCAUAGAAUCGCAGAUCGCAUGAUCAACGAAGGAAAGACGGCUUCGGCUGUCGCAAAAGGAUGGCUCCGCGGUGCAUUAGCUAGAUGGUGGGGUAACGGCCUACCAUGGCAAUGAUGCAUAGCCGACCUGAGAGGGUGAUCGGCCACAUUGGGACCGAGACACGGCCCAAACUCCUACGGGAGGCAGCAGUAGGGAAUCUUCCGCAAUGGGCGCAAGCCUGACGGAGCAACGCCGCGUGUGUGAAGAAGGUCUUCGGAUCGUAAAGCACUGUUGUUAGAGAAGAACGACCGCUAGAGUAACUGUUAGCGGAGUGACGGUAUCUAACCAGAAAGCCACGGCUAACUACGUG